AAACGGUGAUUAAUGCCGGAUGUGAUCGGCCUCCGCAUGGAGGCCUCUUUAAAGGCGGGGAAUCUUCGGAUCCUGCCGCUUAGGGAUGGGCCCAUAUCCUAUCAGCUAGUUGGUGAGGUGACGGCUCACCAAGGCUAUGACGGUUAGCUGGUCUGAGAGGAUGGUCAGCCACACUGGGACUGAGACACUGCCCAGACUCCUACGGGAGGCUGCAGUCGAGGAUCAUUCGCAAUGCGCGAAAGCGUGACGGUGCGACGCCGCGUGCAGGAUGAAGGCCUUCGGGUCGUAAACUGCUGUCAUGAGGGAGCAACGAAUCUGCCGUUAACACCGGCAGGAAGUGAUAGUACCUCAAGAGGAAGCCACGGCUAACUCUGUGCCAGCAGCCGCGGUAAUACAGAGGCGGCGAGCGUUGUUCGGAUUUACUGGGCGUAAAGGGUGCGUAGGCGGUUCCGUAUGUCGGGUGUGAAAUCUCGCAGCUUAACUGCGGAAUGGCAUUCGAAACUACGGGGCUGGAGUACCGGAGAGGAGAGCGGAAUUCUCGGUGUAGCGGUGAAAUGCGUAGAGAUAGAGAGGAACACCGGUGGCGAAGGCGGCUCUCUGGACGGAUACUGACGCUGAGGCACGAAAGCUGGGGGAGCAAACAGGAUUAGAUACCCUGGUAGUCCCAGCCC
rnacentral:rRNA from 1 species